rnacentral:rRNA from 1 species
UACAGAGGUCUCAAGCGUUGUUCGGAUUCAUUGGGCGUAAAGGGUGCGUAGGCGGCGCGGUAAGUCGGGUGUGAAAUCUCGGAGCUUAACUCCGAAACUGCAUUCGAUACUGCCGUGCUUGAGGACUGGAGAGGAGACUGGAAUUUACGGUGUAGCGGUGAAAUGCGUAGAUAUCGUAAGGAACACCAGUGGCGAAGGCGACUUACUGGACACAUAUUGACGCUGAGGUGCGAAAGCGUGGGGAGCAAACAGG